rnacentral:rRNA from 1 species
GAUGAACGCUGGCGGCGUGCCUAAUACAUGCAAGUCGAGCGAAUGGAUUGAGAGCUUGCUCUUAUGAAGUUAGCGGCGGACGGGUGAGUAACACGUGGGUAACCUGCCCAUAAGACUGGGAUAACUCCGGGAAACCGGGGCUAAUACCGGAUAACAUUUUGAACCGCAUGGUUCGAAAUUGAAAGGCGGCUUCGGCUGUCACUUAUGGAUGGACCCGCGCCGCAUUAGCUAGUUGGUGAGGUAACGGCUCACCAAGGCAACGAUGCGUAGCCGACCUGAGAGUGUGAUCGGCCACACUGGGACUGAGACACGGCCCAGACUCCUACGGGAGGCAGCAGUAGGGAAUCUUCCGCAAUGGACGAAAGUCUGACGGAGCAACGCCGCGUGAGUGAUGAAGGCUUUCGGGUCGUAAAACUCUGUUGUUAGGGAAGAACAAGUGCUAGUUGAAUGAGCUGGCACCUUGACGGUACCUAACCAGAAAGCCACGGCUAACUACGUGCCAGCCGCCGCAGUAA